GGUGGGGUUGUCGCUGGCCUCUCCGGAGGCAUGUGCACGCCCUGUCAUCUUUAUAUCUCCACCUGUGCACCCUUUGUAGACUUUGGAACUUGUAUCUCGUUUGUUCGAGGCGUGAGGAUUUUGGCCCUGCCUGUCCUUGAGGUUUCCGAGGCCUACGUUUUUUCAAUAUACUCCAACGAAUGUAAUAGAAUGUGUCAAAAGGGUCUUUGUACCUAUAAAACUUUAUACAACUUUCAGCAACGGAUCUCUUGGCUCUCGCAUCGAUGAAGAACGCAGCGAAAUGCGAUAAGUAAUGUGAAUUGCAGAAUUCAGUGAAUCAUCGAAUCUUUGAACGCAUCUUGCGCUCCUUGGUAUUCCGAGGAGCAUGCCUGUUUGAGUGUCAUUAAAUUCUCAACUUGCGAACUUUGUUGUUUGCAGCUUGGAUGUGGGGGUUUUUCAUUGUGGGCUUCUGACGAGGUCUGCUCCCCUGAAAUGUAUUAGCGGUGCCUUCUGUGGAACCGUCUGUCGGUGUGAUACCUAUCUACGCCGUCGACGUCUGCGUGCUUGCCUGCUUCUAACGGUCCAUUGACUUGGACGAACUAUACAAAUGACCAUUUUGACCUCAAAUCAUGUAGGA
rnacentral:rRNA from 1 species